UACGGGGGGGGCAAGCGUUGUUCGGAAUUACUGGGCGUAAAGGGCUCGUAGGCGGCCAACUAAGUCGGAUGUGAAAUCCCCAGGCUCAACUUGGGAACUGCAUCCGAUACUGGAUGGCUUGAAUUCGGGAGAGGGAUGCAGAAUUCCAGGUGUAGCGGUGAAAUGCGUAGAUAUCGUGGAGGAAUACCGGUGGCGAAGGCGGCAUCCUGGACCGACAUUGACGCUGAUGAGCGAAAGCUAGGGGAGCAAACGGG
rnacentral:rRNA from 1 species